rnacentral:pre_miRNA from 11 species
CCCAGUUCUGCCCCCUAUCAAUCUACGCAUCGGUACGGACAGGGGCAACAUUGUGACAUUUGAAAGCUAAUAUUGCACUUGUCCCGGCCUAUGCGUGGAGUUGGCAUUCAGCGUUUACCGGC